AGGCUUGUAGUCAGGUUUAAGCGCACCCCUGAUAAGGGUGAGGUCGGUGGUUCAAGUCCACUCAGGCCUACCA
rnacentral:tRNA from 1 species